UGUCUAAAGGUUUUUGGGAAAGGGAUAUUUGGGUUUUCGCAUCGGUGAAGAACGGAGCGAAAUGCGAAACUUGGUUUUAAUUUCAAAAACCCGUGAACCAACGAGUCUUUGAACCCAAGUUGCGCCCCAAACCAUUAGGCCCAGGGCCCCCCUUCCUGGGCCUCAAACC
rnacentral:rRNA from 1 species